CCUGCUCAGUGAGUUUACAUGUUAGAGGGAGUGGGGUAUAGUGACACAGUAACAGAGGGAUUGAGGGUCCUGCUCAGUGAGUUUACAUGUUAGAGGGAGUGGGGUAUAGUGACACAGUAACAGAGGGAUUGAGGGCCUGCUCAGUGAGCUUACAUGUUAGAGGGAGUGGGGUAUAGUGACACAGUAACAGAGGGAUUGAGGGC